CGUGCCAGCAGCCGCGGUAAUACGGAGGGGGUUAGCGUUGUUCGGAAUUACUGGGCGUAAAGCGCGCGUAGGCGGACUAUUAAGUCAGAGGUGAAAUCCCGGGGCUCAACCCCGGAACUGCCUUUGAUACUGGUAGUCUAGAGUUCGAGAGAGGUGAGUGGAAUUCCGAGUGUAGAGGUGAAAUUCGUAGAUAUUCGGAGGAACACCAGUGGCGAAGGCGGCUCACUGGCUCGAUACUGACGCUGAGGUGCGAAAGUGUGGGGAGCAAACAGGAUUAGAUACCCUGGUAGUCCACACCGUAAACGAUGAAUGCCAGUCGUCGGAUAGCAUGCUAUUCGGUGACACACCUAACGGAUUAAGCAUUCCGCCUGGGGAGUACGGUCGCAAGAUUAAAACUCAAAUGAAUUGACGGGG
rnacentral:rRNA from 1 species